AUGUUAGCCAAACACCUCGAAGAUAAUAUACUUUUUGGCACAGAAAUGAAUAGGGAGAGGUAUGAAAAGGUCCUUGAAGCAUGCUCGCUUAUCAAGGACCUGGAUAUAUUACCAUUCGGUGACCAGACGAUUAUAGGAGAGAGAGGCAUUAACCUCAGUGGUGGACAAAAACAGAGGAUACAAAUAGCCCGUGCUUUGUACCAUGAUGCUGAUAUCUAUCUAUUUGAUGAUCCGUUUAGUGCAGUUGAUGCUCAUACUGGAUUGCACUUGUUCAAGGAGUGCUUGCUUGGAUUUUUAGCUUCAAAAACAGUUGUGUAUGUUACACAUCAUGUCGAAUUCUUACCUUCAGCCGACGUUAUCAUGGUCUUGAAAGAUGGGAAAAUAAUACAAGCAGGGGAUUACACUGAAAUUCUUAAUUCUGGAAAAGAAUUCACUGAAUUAAUUGUGUCCCACAAGGAUGCAUUAUCUACUAUGGACAUGUUGGAGCUCCCAAGUAGCAAUUAUGAAAGUAGUUGCCAUCUUAAUGGCAAUGGAAGCACCCUACCCAUAGCAGAUGAGCAAACACAUGAUAACAAUGAAGAAGUACUUGUUCAAAAUGGUCAACUUGUACAAGAAGAAGAGAGGGAGAAAGGCCGGGUUGGGUUUAUUGUCUACUGGAAAUAUAUUACAAUGGCACACAAAGGAGCAUUUGUGCCACUUAUUUUGCUAGCUCAGAUCAUUUUUCAAUCUCUUCAAAUUGGAAGCAAUUUAUGGAUGGCUUGGGCAGCUCCGGUAUCUAAAGAUGUGAAUCCUCCGGUCAAUAGCUCGAUGAUGAUAAAUGUAUAUGUUGCAUUAGCUCUUGUUACCUCAUUGUGUGUCUUCAUACGAUCCUAUCUUCUAGUCAUGGCUGGAUGUAAGACUGCAAUCAUGCUAUUUGACAAGAUGCACCAAUGCAUAUUCCGAGCACCGAUGUCUUUCUUUGAUUCCACUCCUAGCGGCCGUAUCUUGAAUAGAGCCUCCACCGAUCAGAGCGCAGUGGAUACUCAAAUAUAUGAUCUGAUGGGCUACCUUCUAUUUCCUGCCAUCGAAAUUCUUGGAACAAUUAUUCUAAUGUCGCGGGUUGCAUGGCCAGUCUUUGUAAUUUUUGUCCCUGUUAUUAUUGCAUCUCUAUCAUAUCAGCAAUACUACUUAAGUGCUGCUAGGGAGUUGCAGAGGUUAACUGGAGUUUGCAGAGCUCCUGUGAUGCAGCAUUUCGCUGAAUCAAUAGCUGGCACAACUAUAAUUAGAUGCUUUGAUAAGAAAAGAGAGUUCAUCAGUUGGACUGGCCAAUUGAUGGAUAAUUUAUCUCGGGCAACGUUAUAUAAUGCUGCUGCGAUGGAAUGGUUGUGCUUUCGCUUGGACUUUCUUUCUUCUUUUAUUUUUGGAUUUGCAUUGAUACUUCUGGUCACCUUGGCAGCUGAUCUAAUUGACUCAAAGACAGCUGGUCUUGCAGUCACUUAUGGACUAAGUCUGAAUAUGCUAAUAGGGUGGGCUAUUCUGGUCCUCUGUGCUUUGGAAAACAGAAUGAUAUCCGUGGAAAGAAUAUUGCAAUACAUGACCAUUCCUUCUGAACCGCCCCUUACGAUAUCAGAAAGUAGACCGGAUUGCCAUUGGCCAACAAAGGGUGAAAUUGAGCUUCGCAACCUUCAUGUAAAAUAUGCGCCACAUCUGCCUUUAGUUUUGAAAGGCGUGACGUGCACCUUCUCAGGAGGCAUGAAGACCGGUAUUGUUGGAAGAACAGGUGGUGGAAAGUCAACCUUGAUUCAAACGCUAUUCCGCAUUGUCGAUCCGUGUAUCGGGCAAAUAUUGAUAGAUGGCGUCGACAUCUCCACCAUUGGACUGCAUGACCUACGGACAAGACUGAGCAUCAUUCCACAAGACCCUGUUAUGUUCGAGGGGACUCUGCGAAGCAACAUCGACCCUCUGGAUGAAUAUAGUGAUGAGCAAAUCUGGGAGGCAUUGGACUGCUGUCAUCUUGGAGAUGAAGUUAGGAAGAACGAGCUUAAGCUCGACUCUACAGUGACAGAGAACGGCGAAAACUGGAGCGCGGGUCAGCGGCAGCUUGUUUGCUUGGGAAGGGUGAUUCUAAAGAGGAGGCGGAUCCUAGUUUUGGACGAGGCAACUUCUUCAGUGGAUCCGAUAACCGACGGUUUGAUCCAGAAAACCUUGAAACAGCAAUUCGCCGAAUGCACCGUGAUCACGAUAGCGCAUCUCGUAUCACAUCGGUUCUUGAUAGCGAGAGGGUGA
rnacentral:rRNA from 1 species